UACGGGGGGGGCAAGCGUUGUUCGGAAUUACUGGGCGUAAAGGGGUUGUAGGCGGCCAACUAAGUCCGACGUGAAAUCCCAAGGCUUAACCUUGGAACUGCGUCGGAUACUGGAUGGCUUGAAUUCGGGAGAGGGAUGCAGAAUUCCAGGUGUAGCGGUGAAAUGCGCAGAUAUCAGGAAGAACACCCGUGGCGAAGGCGGCUCUCUGGGACGGUACUGACGCUGAGGUGCGAAAGCGUGGGGAGCAAACAGG
rnacentral:rRNA from 1 species